UUGCAUGCAGGCAGACGUGUUCAGCUUCUGGAAUGUGCUUUCCUGCAUCGUGUGAUGGUGGUGCUCUUAUUUACCCCUUCAUCCCCAAAUCGAGAGGCUAAAUGCAAGUGCAAGGGUGAUGGCGUCAGGAAUCUAGUGACAGAGCCCCCCAGAAUGUGAAUCACUGAAGAUAACCCUAUCUCUAUCCACUUGGGUUUGAUACCAAGAUGAAAUGCUCUGUGUGCUUGCUUCAAGGGACAAGACAUCUGGGAAUGGAGCUGGACAGAGAAUGUCCGAGGGCCGGGAAGUGCUAGGAGUCUCCUGGCUAGCAAAGGGUCAGGGGCAGGCUGACAGGAGAAGCUGAAAUAGUGAAGUCAUUAUUCUGCCCCUGCUGCGCCUGCUUUCCCUUUGAUCUCACUGAACAUAACUGGAUUUUUCUUCCAGAGACACCAAAGAGAAAGCACCCUGGAGGGAAUGUUUGAGAAGAAGAGAGACCGGUGUCACGAAAAGACACUUUUGGCCCAGAAAAUAUGAGUAAAACACAUUCGAAGAGAACACUAACAGACGAAAAGGGAAGUUAUAAGAUGUAUUGAGUUAAAGCUGUCUGUCUUGGUGCUAAGAGGACAUUACUUAAGGACAUAACUUUGUUCCCUUUCUUCAGUAAACCGGGUGCUGUAAUUCACACAAUUACAAGGGAGCUCCUUUGGCUUAAAGCUGUCCGGAAUGGCGUCCCUAACACCAACUUUAGUCAGUGGCGUCUAUUCCGAGAAGCAGUUUUGGUAGGAAUGACAACAGUGACUUCCAAUGUCAGGUAUUUUUGCAUAUCUCAGGUAGUCUUCAGACCUCUCCUGCAUGGAAGCGUAUUAUUAUACGAAUCUGAAGGAUUGACAAACUGGGUUUCAGAAAGAAAAGAAAAAGAAGUAUCUUGGCCCCUGACAAUUUUCCUGGCAGAGUCUUCCUACGUAGUCUUGUCUGAUCUGGAACUCUGUGUACGGCAGCACGGCCUUAAACUCACGGAAACCUGCCUGCCUGUACCUCCUAAGCACUGGGAUUACAGGAGUGCACCACCACACUUGGCAGCAAGUGCUCUGCAUCGCUGACCCCAUUUCUCCAGCCUCGCUCUGGAUGUUAAGAAUCUUUGUCGCGGGGUCACCCACCGCGCUUCAAGCAGCAGCCCCCGCUCAGGACGGUGUGCUGACCCUCAGGACACAAGGACGCACCUUUCACUUGCACGAAGUCCAGCUGAUGAAUGGACUGCAGCAGAGGGCCGUUGUCCAGGCUCAGGUCCAAGUCCGUGGUCAUUCUGGGGGUGAGCGCGCCUUUGCCCCACUGGCCCUCAGUUAGGUGAACCCGCCUUAUGAGGGCAUCUGAAAUCUAACCACAAAGACCACAUCCUAAGAAACACAGAGGCAUCUUCCAACCACAACACUGCUGCUGGACGCUUUGUGGGUGUUAACACCAAAUCAUGAGGACCUCAAGCUCUUGCCAUCUCAGCGUGCGCGGUGAGAAAGGCUGUAUCAUGACUGGGGUAGCCCACAGUUUCUGAACCAAAGCUGAACAUUUUUUUUUUUUUCUUGAGUCACAAGGAGGGCACUAGAAAUAAUUAGCAGCUGUUAAAUGACUCAUGCUCAUACAUUUAUGACUAAAAUUCCAAAUGCUGUCAACUCUGGAAAAUAUGAUACACAUUGGAAACCCGUUCAUCCUAUAGAAUCAACAGCUCUACCCUUCUGUCUCAAGGUGUGGGCAGCCAGACAAAAUCCAGGAAUGAGGUCCGCAAGCCAGAAAGGCUGCUCCGUGUCCUCUUACAUCUUCGUGUGACUGUCCCUUGAUUCUUGGGAAAAGACCUCUUUCAUUUCUCACACUCAGCCCCAUCUGUCUCUCUCAUCUGGUUGCAGAAAGUGCACUGGAAAAAAAAAAAUCUACAUGUCCAAAAAAAAAAAAAAAAAAAGCUCCC